UUAAUACAUUAGAAACUCUAGAGAACUUGAUAUUAUGGGCUACUUUUUUUCUUUUGUGACCUUUAUUGGAAUUGCAUUGCUAGCACUUGCGUUGCCGCGCCUUCCGGCUAAAGAUUGUCCAGGACGAUGUAGGGGCUGGAGGCCAAGUAAAUAAAAGAUAUUACCUAGAGAAUCUAAAUAUAUAUGUUUAAAGAUCAUUGGUGAACAUAUUAAGAUUCAAUGUACUAGGUAUACACUUACCAAAAAAGGACAGAACUGUGCCUAAUGUGUUUAAUAAAAUGUUUACUUGUGGGAAGCGUUUAUGUUUUGAUAUUAAAUUUAUACUAAGUUGAUAAUUAUUUAAUGUGAAGUUUACAUUUGCCGUGCAUAAUCAUAAAUGAGAAAUGUUCCAGCACUAAUUUGUUUGAUCUAUAAAACCCUUGCUUCAAUUGAAAGGCGUUUAAAGAAUUAGAAACUGUAGAGGACGUGAUAUUAUGGGCAACCUUUUUUCAUUUGUGACCUUUAUUGGAAUUGCAAUGCUAUCACUUGCGAUGCCGCAACCUCCAGGUGGUCAAUGUCCAGGAGAUUGCAAGGGCUGGAAACCAAGUUAAUAAAAGCUAUUACCUGGAGAAUCUACAUAUGUAUGUUUAAAGGUCAUUGGUGAACAUAUUAAGAUUCAAUGUACUAGGUAAACUCUUACCAAUAAAGGUUAGAAAUGUGCCUAAUGUA